rnacentral:rRNA from 1 species
AAGAUCCGUGGUCGAGAGGGAAACAACCCAGACCGCCGGCUAAGGUCCCUAAAUCAUCGCUGAGUGGGAAAGGAAGUGGAAGCGCUUAGACAACCAGGAUGUUGGCUUAGAAGCAGCCAUCAUUUAAAAAGUGCGUAACAGCUUACUGGUCUAGUGAAUCCGCGCCGAAAAUGUAACGGGGCUAAGCGAUGUACCGAAGCCGCGGAGCCAUGCCUUCCUUCGGGAUUGCAUGGUUGGUAGGAGAGCGUUCCAUACGCGUCGAAGUCGUAUCGUGAGAAGCGAUGGAGUGUAUGGAAGUGAUGAUGCGGACAUGAGUAGCG